UAGGGAAUCUUCCACAAUGGACGCAAGUCUGAUGGAGCAACGCCGCGUGAGUGAAGAAGGUUUUCGGAUCGUAAAGCUCUGUUGUUGGUGAAGAAGGAUAGAGGCAGUAACUGGUCUUUAUUUGACGGUAAUCAACCAGAAAGUCACGGCUAACUACGUGCCAGCAGCCGCGGUAAUACGUAGGUGGCAAGCGUUGUCCGGAUUUAUUGGGCGUAAAGCGAGCGCAGGCGGAAUGCUAAGUCUGAUGUGAAAGCCCACGGCUCAACCGUGGAACUGCAUCGGAAACUGUCAUUCUUGAGUGCAGAAGAGGAGAGUGGAAUUCCAUGUGUAGCGGUGGAAUGCGUAGAUAUAUGGAAGAACACCAGUGGCGAAGGCGGCUCUCUGGUCUGCAACUGACGCUGAGGCUCGAAAGCAUGGGUAGCGAACAGG
rnacentral:rRNA from 1 species